UCUGCUGAACUGCUGCUGACCUUUUCCUGGACGGAUUCCUGGAUGAGCGAUCUCCUGGGAGCUGCAGACGCUCGGAGCAGGAAUUAAAAACAGUUCCUGUGUCAGAGGGAAGUGGAUGGUGGAGGCUUUCAUUAUUAAUUAGAAAGUAAAAUUCUACAGGCGUCAGCAAAACGUCGGCCAUGCUGUUGUCUCAUUACUCUGCGGCUAUUCAGAAACUUCCUCCUGAUGCUGGAAGUUCUGGAAGUUUCCUGAGGAGAGGAUUUGUUCCCGCUCCCUCCAGGAGUUUUUCUAAACGAAGACAUUCAGCUGAUUGAGGACGGAGGAAAACCUGCAGGCUUCAUGCGUCCUCUCUGCCCGUCAGCUUCGUCUCUCCGACCUGUGAUGAUCUGAUUGGCUCGUCUGGAUCUUUUCUCCUCCAUCUCCUCGCUGUUUAAACUCCUAAUGUUUCUUUGUUAAAAGUUUCGUUUUGUUUCUCCGUCCGGCUCCUACAUGUGGUUCUGAUUUCUUCCCGCAGGCCGGCGCUCCUUCUGGUUUCACCUCAGGACCAUCUGGAUGUUCUCUGUUCGUAGAGACUUUGUUUGUGCCGGAGCGUCUCUGUUGCUCCUCGCUGGGAUGAAGCUGAUGGUGUGAACAGAUCUGUUGCUGCGGUAACUCGUCUCUGAGUCGCUCUGAUGGAUUCAGGACCGACGCAGGAGUCCAGAGCUUCAGUCGGCUGAUUUAUGAACGCUGCAGCCGGGAGGGAAAGUUUGUAGGAAUCAUUUUGUGCUUCAUUGAGUCCCAUCGCUCCUCAGAGCGUCUCGCACAGAAACAUCAGUUCAUGCAUCAUCAUGAAGCAGAGCGCGGAUCGCGUGGAAAUCCUGUGUGAGGCGCCUCGUGACCACUUCCUGUUUGAUCGGCGUAACCGUGGCAACCAGCAUCAGCUCAGUGACCUCAUGGUUGGUUACUGGGAAGGUGAGCAGCUGUGGAGCUUCAGAUCAGCACAGCGCUGCACUGCAGCACCAACAGCAGCACCAACAGCAGACAGAUUCACAGCUGC